UGCCUGGCGGUUCCCGAUGGUAGUGUGGGGUCUCCCCAUGCGAGAGUAGGGAACUGCCAGGCAU
rnacentral:rRNA from 1 species